CCAUGGGCUAGCCUUCCAAUACUCUCUGAGAGGGGUCAGUUUGCCUCUGGUGCUGCAGACCACCCGGGAGCCUGAACAACUCUCACAGACCUUCCUCCUCUGUCCA